rnacentral:lncRNA from 1 species
CAACACAUAAAUGAAGAAAAACAGUGACUUCCGGUUCCAAAAUGGCGGUAAAUACGUAGAAAAUAUUUUCAUAAUUUCCAUCAACUUAACAAGUGUUAACACUCUUUGUUAAGUUUAAAUGCCUAGUUUGGUUAGAAAGACAGGUUGCUUAUCUUAUAAUUUUCUGAUCGUUGCCUAUACAACAACCCGUACAAGGAAGGCCAGAACGGUAGCAUCUACUGUUACCAACACAGCUCGGU